CCCCCACCCAUGUGUGCAGGACCCCAAGGAUCACCAUUAAAGUUAGCACAGAUCUUUAGAAAAGUUAUUACAUGAGUGUGUGACUUGACUUUUCUAUAGAUAUGUGCCAAAUUUAAUGGUGAUCCUUUGGGGUCCUACACACAUGGGUGGGGG
rnacentral:pre_miRNA from 1 species